UACGUAGGGUGCAGGCGUUAAUCGGAAUUACUGGGCGUAAAGCGUGCGCAGGCGGUUUGUUAAGACAGAUGUGAAAUCCCCGGGCUUAACCUGGGAACUGCGUUUGUAACUGGCAAGCUAGAGUGUGGCAGAGGGGGGUGGAAUUCCACGUGUAGCAGUGAAAUGCGUAGAGAUGUGGAGGAACACCGAUGGCGAAGGCAGCCCCCUGGGCUGAGAUUGACGCUCAGGCACGAAAGCGUGGGGAGCAAACAGG
rnacentral:rRNA from 1 species